UGUCAAUGUCUUUCUGUCUCCAAAGUGUUCUCUGUCAAUUGGCUGUCGGUUGUCGUACUCGAGCGGCUCCAACUACCGGAGACAAAUCCCUUGUGUGUUUUUGGGACAUACUUGGCAAAUAAAGAUGAUUCUGAUUUUAAAAGUAAACUUUCAACUAGAGUCACCCUUUCAUUAAAGUGAUGUAAUCAAACAGUCUGCAUGUAUUGUAUUGUGCGUUGUACCAUUAAUAUUACUGGGUGCAAUAACAUACAACUGACUACAAUGAUGUCAAAUGGGCCUUAUCAUUGAAGCGUUCAAUCAAGCUUAUUUUCUUUGAAGCAUAAAAGCAAUCGCAGGGCACUUCCUGCUCUGCACUUGGUCAUUACAACUUCACAAGAGCUUAAUAACACAGUAAUUACCCACUGAGAAUUCAGUCAGGAAGCUGCAAGCUAAAUACUUCCACGUGUGUUGACGAUUGUCUGUCGGGUGUUCGGGAUGUUUUAAUUUGAUUGUUCAUGCCACAAUGUGUGUUUUAAGACAACUCCUUGUGCUAUGGUGAGAGUUUUGAUGCAUCGGGGUGGUGUGUAUGACAUUCCUUGUCACUGUUAAACAGGUGCGUUUCAAUGGUGAUGUUGCUUUGAUGCCUUUUGUUUUACUUGCUGUCGCUCACUGUCCAGCAAGCCUGAAACAAAUGAUGCACUGGGGUGUGUUAACUCCUAGCUUUAUUUAGUGUUUAAUUGUCUACACGGCACAGACCUUUACGAAAGAAGAUGAUUCUGCCAGUUAAAGAAGGUCACCAAAAGUUAUUUUUUCAUUAACUACUUUCCUCAUACUAAAUAUACAGGGGUGCACGAUAUUUACAGUAGGGUGUACUUACAGGCCACACAAUUAGGUCCUCCUGUACAAUCAAAUUAGGUCCGUUAGAUGGGUUAUAUAAAAGAGUUCUGCCUUUACAAUGAUAACAAUACUAAUAACAAUUUCUGCAUUUCAAUCGGAUUCACGUCUUGGCUUUGAGUAGGUCACUCCAAAACCUGUUUUUUAAGCCAUUUAGAAGUUGACUUGCUGAUGUGUUUUGGAUCAUUAUCCUGCUGCAGAACCCAAGCGUGCUUCAGCUUGAAGUCACAAACUGAUGGCUGAACAUUCUCCUUCAGGAUUUUCUGUUAAAGAGCCGAAUUCAUGGUUCCAUCAAUCACAGCAAGUUGUCCAGGUCCUGAAGGAGCUAAGCAGCUCAAGAACAUCACACUACCGUCGCCAUGUUUGACUGUUGGCCCGCCACUCCUGGGAAGGUGCACCACUGUUCCAUGUUUUCUCCACGUGAGGAUAAUGGCUCUCCCUAUGGUUCGCUGGAAUCCUAAAGCUUUAGAAAUGCCUUUUGAAACACUUUCCAAACUGAUUCCUGUUCAGGAAUUUCUUUGGAUCGUGUCAUUUUGUUGUAGCAUGUUUUAGAUUUUAGUCUUUUGUCCAGCUGGAUCUUUUGUCCAACUUGAUUUAGUCGGGACAGAUUCUGUUUAAGUGAUUUCGCGAUUGAACAGGUCUGGAGGCAAUCAGGCUUGGGUGUGAUCACUGAAAAUUAACCAAAAAUUGUGAUUAUCCACAAUUACUUCAUGAUUUAACAAGGGGGGUAAUUACUUUUUCCGCACAGGUCCAGGUAACUUGGAAUAUUUUGUUUUCAUUAAUAAAUGAAAUCACCAUUAAAAAAAAAAAAAAAAAAAAAAAAAAA